AUAGUGAAUAUUAAUGACUCUAGAGGCAAGUAUAUGGAAUGUUAGUAUCUUGAAAUUCGCAAAUGUUUUAGUGAUAUCUCUGUAUGUUUCUGUGCACUCUGAUUUGAAUGUCUAUUGUUUGAUAUGGUGACACUGCUGCCAGUGUUGGUCAGAACAGGGCACACAAGUGAUGAGAAGCUUCCACUAAACAGAACCCUUCUUCCUGUAGGCAAUAGCCUUGGCAUCAUGACUAGCUUCCACUAAACAGAACCCUUCUUCCUGUAGGCAAUAGCCUUGGCAUCAUGACUAGCUUCCACUAAACAGAACCCUUCUUCCUGUAGGCAAUAGCCUUGGCAUCAUGAUUAGCUGGAUUGUUACUCAAUUUGUUGUGAUGUGUGUGCUUGCUGGGUUACUCAUGAUGAAGAAGAAAGACUACAAAAAGGCUGAGGAGUCUGAUACCGAUUCGGAUGAUUCCAUGGAUGGACAGCAUGGUACUUUCAAGAUCAAGAAGAAGAAGAAGACGUGAAAAGAUCGAUAAGAAGAAUAACACAUUCAUUUUAUACUUUUUAAUGUAUUUAAUUUCUUUCAAAUUAAUCUUCUCAAUGGUUGGUGAAAACUCCCUGACUUGUCCUGGCUGCCCCUUGCCAUUGCACUGAAUCAUCUCAUUGAGCUGGUUGUGUGUUUCUAUCUUUCAUAUUGGUAAUGAGAGGGGCUGGUGGUGGUAGUGGUA